rnacentral:misc_RNA from 1 species
GAUGAAGAACGUAGCGAAAUGCGAUAAGUAGUGUGAAUUGCAGAAUUCAGUGAAUCAUCGAAUCUUUGAACGCACAUUGCCCCCCUUGGUAUUCCAUGGGGCAUGCCUGUUCGAGCGUCAUUUGUACCCUCAAGCUUUGCUUGGUGUUGGGUGUUUGUCCCGCGUUGCGCGUGGACUCGCCUUAAAGCGAUUGGCAGCCGGCAUAUUGGCCUUGGAGCGCAGCACAUUUUGCGCUUCUAGUCAUGAAUGUUGGCGUCCAUUAAGCCUAUACAUUUGCUCUUGACCUCGGAUCAGGUAGGGAUACCCGCUGAACUUAAGCAUAUCAAUAAGCGGAGGA